AGUGAACGCUGGCGGUAGGCCUAACACAUGCAAGUCGAACGGCAGCACAGUAAGAGCUUGCUCUUACGGGUGGCGAGUGGCGGACGGGUGAGGAAUACAUCGGAAUCUACUUUUUCGUGGGGGAUAACGUAGGGAAACUUACGCUAAUACCGCAUACGACCUACGGGUGAAAGCAGGGGAUCUUCGGACCUUGCGCGAUUGAAUGAGCCGAUGUCGGAUUAGCUAGUUGGCGGGGUAAAGGCCCACCAAGGCGACGAUCCGUAGCUGGUCUGAGAGGAUGAUCAGCCACACUGGAACUGAGACACGGUCCAGACUCCUACGGGAGGCAGCAGUAGGGAAUAUUGGGCAAUGGGCGCAAGCCUGACGCAGCCAUACCGCGUGAGUGAAGAAGGUCUUCGGGUCGUAAAGCCCUGUUGUUGGGAAAGAAAAGAUGCAGAAUAAUACCCCGAUAUUCUGACGGUACCCAAAGAGAAAGCAACGGCUAACUACGUG
rnacentral:rRNA from 1 species